UGGACCGGUGAUGAUGGCUGAUGGAGAAUGAGCCCCAUUGGAUGAAUGCCGCGUGUCUGGAGUCUGAGGUCUGA